GUAGUACUACCUCUGUCCGAAAAUACUUGUCAUCAAAAUGGAUAGAUACUAAAAUACAUCUAGAUACAUCCCUUUUUAUUCAUUUGGAUGACAAGUAUUUCCGGACGGAGGGAGUAAUAG
rfam:Triticum aestivum genome assembly, contig: Triticum_aestivum_CS42_TGACv1_scaffold_228433_3B